GAUCAUGGCUCAGGAUGAACGCUAGCUACAGGCUUAACACAUGCAAGUCGAGGGGCAGCAUGGUNUUAGCUUGCUAAGGCUGAUGGCGACCGGCGCACGGGUGAGUAACACGUAUCCAACCUGCCGUCUACUCUUGGCCAGCCUUCUGAAAGGAGGAUUAAUCCAGGAUGGGAUCAUGAGUUCACAUGUCCGCAUGAUUAAAGGUAUUUUCCGGUAGACGAUGGGG
rnacentral:rRNA from 1 species